rnacentral:tRNA from 1 species
CGCGGCGUGCCGGAUCGGUGUUGGCCUGAUUGGCGCGCAGGGCGUCGAGCUCCGUCGCGAAGACCUGUUCCACCCGGGCGCCACCG